CCCCGGGCUGGGGCCGGUUCGGCCUCCCGGGUGGCGCGCGGGCCGAAGAACUAGGAGGACCGCCGGGCCGGGCCGCUUGUCCUUUGGAAAAACCUUGGCGGUUCCUCCUCUGGUGUCCGUGGACCCCGCCGUGGCGUUCUCCAGGGCCGCGGACCUUUGCCCACCGGUCGCGCCAGCUGUCCUGGAGCAGAAAGGACCCCCCUCCUCCCGGACCGAGCCCCGAGCCCCGAGCCCCAUGGAGCAGGCAAGCGCCGGAGUCCCGAGGCUAAGGCCCGGCCGGCGGGCGCUCUGGCACCUUUUCCCGCCCCCGAGGGUGCCUGUCCGGCCCGGCCGGGACUGGCUGGGAAACCGAGGCCGGAAGAGGUCGCAGUCCAGCAAGGAAUCGGGGCAGCUCUUCCGUGGUUCCUUGCAGACCCCAGGUCAGGCCAGAAAACACCUCUAUGGCCCUUCCCUGUGUCCCACCACCAGAUAGGACCUCAAAGGCCUGGGGUCCCCAGGAUGGCCCUCAAACCGACUGGUGCCCUUGCAGGCUGCCACCCUCCAAGUCCUGCUUCUCUCUAGAGAUGGGCAGGAGCACCAGCCCUCACCUGGCACCAGCACUUUACUGGGGGAACAUAAUAUGGUCUAAGAAGAGAUUUUUCCAGCAAGAGGCCAUCUCUGCAAAUCACCUGUGAGGCAGACCUGUGGCAAUUUUAUGACUCAGCUGGCCACCGGGAUUGUAGCUGGGUUCUGCCGCUUGUUGAAACCUACUCAAUGUUCUCCUUCCCUAAGUAGGACAAGACCGUAUCCUGCCUUUAAGGUUUAUAGAAUAAAAACUGAAAACUC